rnacentral:tRNA from 1 species
GGUAUUGCGCCGGAUUGAACGGAUUAUAUUGAUGUUAUAAAAUAUAAGGCUCUUUAACCUUCAAUACCU